AAGUUGUCAAGGGUCCUGCAAGCACAGUGAAGACGACGGGCCUGUGGUCAUUAUGAGGCAGUUGAAAGGAAAACCCAAAAAAGAGACAUCCAAGGACAAGAAGGAGCGAAAGCAGGCCAUGCAGGAAGCACGACAACAGGUUUAAUAUGUUGUUGUCACGUUCCUGCGUCACCUGACUUCCAGCCAAGCCCCAAUCAAGGAAUUGCCAGCACCUGCUACAGCUCGUUAAGUCCCCUACUUAACCUCUGUAUUCUGCCAAUGGUUGUCAGUUCGUCUGGUUACCCUGCCCGUGACACCACUGCCUUUUUUUUUGUCCCCUGAACGAUCUCUGUUGCCAACUGCUUCCGUAAACUGACCGACCACGCUUUGAUCGCCGCCUGCCCCGACUACUUGCUCGUCCUUUGACCACGCUUCUGAUCGCCGCCUACCUCGGCCACCUGCCUGCCUCCGACUAUGACUACGCACUGUGCUCUGCUGCUUAACCACGCCAGCCAGAUUGCAAGUCCAGCGUUCCACUUCCCCUUUCCCCCCUUUUCAGUGAAGGAUCGUGCUGCACUUGGUCGACCUGGCUCUGUUCCGUGACAGUUGUGAUUGUGUCCUUGAAGUUUUUCACAUGACAACCAUUAUUGAGAUAAAAUGAUAAUCAUCAAGAUCAUUUUAAAUUGUUAAAAAUAUUUGCAUUGUUUUGUUUUUUAAUGAAAUACAGAAAAUUGUUAAGAAUUCUGCUGCAUGAGUAGUGAUAAUUACUUAAAAUCAGGUAAUGAUUAAUUUGUAUUUACAAUAUUAACAAAUCUAUUUUCCCAAUGAUAUUCAUAGCGAGGAUUCAGAUCAAUCUUGUGUUUUUUUUUUUUAGGAAACAAAAGUGUAUGAAGGUUUCUUUGCUGUA